rnacentral:rRNA from 1 species
UGGGUAACCUGCCUCAAAGAGGGGAAUAGCCUCCCGAAAGGGAGAUUAAUACCGCAUAAUAUGUUUAAGUCGCAUGACUUUAACAUCAAAGGAUUUUCUUUUAAGAAAUUCCACUUUGAGAUGGACCCGCGGCGCAUUAGCUAGUUGGUGAGGUAACGGCUCACCAAGGCAACGAUGCGUAGCCGACCUGAGAGGGUGAUCGGCCACAUUGGAACUGAGACACGGUCCAGCUCCGUAGGAGG